rnacentral:rRNA from 1 species
ACGAACGCUGGCGGCGUGCCUAAUACAUGCAAGUUGAGCGCUGAAGGUUGGUACUUGUACCCACUGGAUGAGCAGCGAACGGGUGAGUAACGCGUGGGGAAUCUGCCUUUGAGCGGGGGACAACAUUUGGAAACGAAUGCUAAUACCGCAUAAAAACUUUAAACACAAGUUUUAAGUUUGAAAGAUGCAAUUGCAUCACUCAAAGAUGAUCCCGUGUUGUAUUAGCUAGUUGGUGAGGUAAAGGCUCACCAAGGCGAUGAUACAUAGCCGACCUGAGAGGGUGAUCGGCCACAUUGGGACUGAGACACGGCCCAAACUCCUACGGGAGGCAGCAGUAGGGAAUCUUCGGCAAUGGACGAAAGUCUGACCGAGCAACGCCGCGUGAGUGAAGAAGGUUUUCGGAUCGUAAAACUCUGUUGGUAGAGAAGAACGUUGGUGAGAGUGGAAAGCUCAUCAAGUGACGGUAACUACCCAGAAAGGGACGGCUAACUACGUG